CUCAAACUCCUCGGCUCAAGUGAUCCUCCUACCUUGGCCCCCUAAAGUGCUGGGAUUACAGGCAUGAGCCAUCAUGAGCAGCUAGAUCUAUAAUAAAACUGAUGCAGGAUUUUUUCUUGACGCCUUUAUGGGACUUGUGACAGUCGUGCCCCCUUUACUCAGCCCACCCUGUUCAUCCCUUGUGGGAAGGGAAUGUGCAGGUGAAUGAGUGUGGAAACUGGCUAGCUGAUUGGACACUGGUGGGAACAAACUGUGUUCAUUGGGUUCUGUUGUACUCCACCCUUUGUGGGAUGUAGCACAUAGAAGAGUGAGUGCAGGAACUGGCUGUCUGCUUUAGCACCAGCAGGAAUAGAUUCUUUGCAGGCUUGCGGCAGCGUCCAGGUGGGGGUGUCUGUGAUCCCAAGGCCCCAGAGGACAUGUUAUAAUGCUCUCUUAGCUCCGUCAUCUGCAGACAGCAGUGUGUUAUCAGCUCAGUGUUCCUUUUGCCUUGUUGCAUAGGGCGGCUGCUGUCCACCAGCGAGGGCAAAGAGCCAGUGUGACAGUCUUUUUGAAUACCAGCACUUGGUGUGUCUCGAAUUCUUGUCUGGUGCCCAAGAGGAAUGAGGUCAUGCGGACAAAUUGAAGGAUGGUGAAUGCGGAGAAUUUUAUUGAAUGAAAACUGCUCUCAGUGAAGAGUGGAGCUGGAAAGGGGAUGGGAAGGGCAGGUCGCUCUCCCCUGAAGCUUCUGUCUUCUGAAGUCAAGUCGCCUCUCCCUGAUGUCCGGCUGCUUGUCUUCUCUGCUGGCUGAGUCUAGGGUCUUUAUAGGCACAGGGUGGGAGAUGCUGUAGGUAGUUUUGGAAAAGGCAACAUUUGAUUGGUAAAAAGACAUUAUUCAGAAAGAACCAUUCGGGAGAGAGCAGACAAAUAGGGAUGGGAAUUCUCACUUUGGGCCACAAGUUUCAGGCUUUUCAGCUUGCAGGUGGGGUUUUGCUGGGGACCCGCCUCUGUCUGCCUGGAAUUUCUCUGCUUCCUGCCUCUAUCAAAACUAUCAUAGAAAAUAUGCUUCCCUGUCACCUUUUUCCUCCAACCACCCAGUUCCUGAAACCAGACACAACUAUUGUUAACCGAAGGAAAGAGUUGAAGUAUUCUCUUUGAAGUAAAUAGCUUAGUAAUCAGCUUUAAAUAUUUUAUGUGUAGAAUUUUUGGUGCAUUAUCUUAGUUGGAUUAUAGUGUUAAUAAGGUCAAGGUCAUAAGGGCCUGAGUGCAAACCAGUUAAUGUUGUGUUCUCUGGUUAUAAAAGGACACUGGGUAGUGUCCCAGUCAGCCAUUAUGCAAAUGCCAGUUAUCAGUCUUGCUGGAGAGGGAGUGCUAGGGGAAAAGUGAGUGGAAUGACUCAGUUCAAAUUCAUGAUGUAAAAGCUGUGGAAAUAACAUUUCACUAAAGUCAGGUUGAGUAGGUAGCAUGAUUAAUCAUGGGAUUAAGAGAACAUAUAAAUCCUCUGCAGCCAAUUAAGCCGACUGUGUUCCUUUCCUCAUGGGGGCUCAGUGUGCAAUGGCUGCACACAGUAGCUUCCUUGGUAGUGUACUCAGCCUGUUUCUUGUAUGGGUUGCUCUAAGGGACCUUGGAGACAGGCCUUUCAGAUGGAUGUUCAUGUCUCUGACUUUGCACUAUCCCCAGUCUAGGCUCCAAACAGGUAUGCGAGGUGCCUUUGGAAAGCCCCAUGGCACUGUGGCCGGGGUUCACAUUGGCCAAAUUAUCAUGUCCAUUUGCACCAAGAUGCAGAACAAGGAGCUUGUGUUGAGGCCCUAUGCAGGGCCAAGUUGAAGUUCCCUGGCCGCCAGAAGAUCCACAUCUCUAAGAAGUGGGGCUUUACCAAGUUCAGUGCAGAUGAAUUUGAAGACAUGGUGGCUGAGAAGCAGCUCAUCCCAGAUGGCUGUGGGGUCAAUUACAUCCCCAACAGUGGCCCUCUGGACAACUGGCGGCGGGCCCUGCACUCGUGAGGGCUUCCACUGUGCUGCCCCCUCUUAAUGCUCGCCAAUGAAUCCUACUUCCUGUUCACCUUAAAAAAAAAAAAA